rnacentral:tRNA from 1 species
GCCUGGGUGGCUCAGUCAGUUAAGCAUCCGACUUCAACUCAGGUUAUGAUCUCAUAAGCUCGUGGGUUCGAGCCCCACGUUGGGCU